rnacentral:tRNA from 1 species
GCUGGGGAUAUAGCUCAGUUGGUAGAGUGCUUGCCUGGCAUGCACAAGGCCCUGGGUUCAAUUCCCAGCCCCAGCA